CACACACACACACACACACACACACACACACUCACACCCUCUCUGGAGGGGAGGGGAAGGAUCCUGUGACUGUUCAGCCUGUAUCCAGUGGGGACAGAGGCAGCUUUGCAGGGUCUAUGAUGCCUCGCUUCCUGCUGAGGGACCCUCCACCCAAGAGCCACCAUCUGCACUUCCUGAGCUUACCCCAAUACUGCUAUGAAGAAAUUCUGACUCCAAGAAUCUUACAAAUGACUGGGGGACAUAGCCAAAGAAGCAAGCAGCUGCAAUGGACUUUCAGGAAGAAAGGAACACAGCAUACUUGCUAUGGUCUGAAUGUUCGUGUUCCCCAUAAAACUCAUUAAAAUUCUCACCCCCAAGGUAAUGGUAGCAGGCAAUGGAGCCUUUGGGAAAUGAAUAAGUCAUAAGAGUGGGACCCCCAUGAAUGGGAUUCGUACCUUUGUUCAAGAGACUUCAGAGAGGCCCUCAUCCCUAGCAAUGAGGUAUUGUCUGUGAAUCAGAAAGCGUAUACUUACCAGACACUGAAUCUUCUAGUGACUUGAUUUUAGACUUCCCAGCUUUCAGAACAAUGAGAAAUAAAUUUCUUUUGCUUGUAA